rfam:Lasius niger Lnig_2.1_3627, whole genome shotgun sequence.
CAAAUGGCCCUUUUCAGGGCCCCAAAGUAUUAACACGAUGGUACGAU